UUCGCCCGGGCACUACGAGCAUAAGCUUGAAACCCAAAGGACUUGGCGGUGCUUUACCCCACCUAGAGGAGCCUGUUCUCUAACCGAUAACCCCCGUUAAACCUUACCUUCUCUUGUCCCUCCCGCCUAUAUACCGCCGUCGUCAGCUUACCCUGUGAAGGGUCCUAAGUGAGCAAAAUUGAUAGAGUCCAAAACGUCAGGUCGAGGUGUAGUGUAUGAGAAGGAAAGAAAUGGGCUACAUUUCCUAUUUUAGGACAUAACGGAAGCAUUAUGAAACAUAAUGUUCGAAGGAGGAUUUAGCAGUAAGAAGGAAAAGAGUGUCCUUCU
rnacentral:rRNA from 1 species